UCCCAUUUAUUGUUUCUUCCACACUAUCAUUUAUCUCCUCAGUCUAUCAAGAAAGACGGAUCUAAGAAUAUAGGAUCAACAAGCUAAUUGAUCUCUAUAUGGAGAGAUCUCCUCAAAUAUGGGAAGUCUCCUUGACCUAUAGGGUGCCCAUUGACUCAUCAACUUGUCAAGUCCUUCAACAAAAGCAUCUUCUAAACAUAAUUCUGAUGAUUUUGGCGAUAGCAGUGAUGAUUGGCAUGCUUCUAAUUCAUGAAGCAACUCCUUCACACGGCUUCUUGACUUGGGGUCAUCGGAUCCUGCAAGCUUACCCUGCAAUACAUCAUCAAGGACUGAAUGUGCCGCAGCAUAUCGCGCUUGCUUGAUAAGGCACAAGCACAAAUUGCAAGCCUUGUUAGCAUCAGGAUCAAUUGAUUGCGCCUUCUGGUACACAACUUCUGCUGCCAAAUAGCUUCCUUGCUGCAUGUACGCCCAACCCAAGUUUCCCAGUAUCCGAGAUGUCUCUUGCUUGAUGGUAACCUGGAACUUUCUCCCAUGAGAGCGAGCUGUCCUAGUUAGCUUUCCAUUGAAUGCUUCUCCUUCAUAGAUCAUAUGAAGCUUCUGCUUCAAUAGUUCUAUCUGCUCCUCAAUUCUCCCACAUUUCUUGUACAAGUCAAUGAGGACAUUGUCAAGUGAUUCUUGGGCUUGCUUGGAGCAGCGAUGCCUAAAAGAUUUUAUAGCUUCAAUUGCUUCCUCUGCUCGAUCUUGCUGUUUCAUAACCACUGCCAUGUCUUUGAGGGCACUAUCUACUCUAUCUCCAGCAUUUAUUGCCUUCCAAAACAAAACUAUCGCGGCUUCUGGAUCCUUUUGAACUAGCUGGACAUGCUUGGCUCUAACAUAAGGGCUAUCACCAGGAGGAAGCUUGUGAAUGACAUGAUAAGGGGGCUCUUGAUGAUCAUGAUCAUGAUGAUGAUGCUUCUCUCCUUUUCCUGUGUUCAUCUUUCUCUAUUUUAAAACAUGCAAGAAAUUAAAUCAAACCCUCGCCAAUUCCGACCCGUAAAACUCCCUUUAAAUCCCUUCCUUGUUUAGCUAUACAUAGUCAAUACUGAGAAUUCAGACGGAGAAAACGGAGAAUUGGAGCAGCGAAGAAAAAAGAAACUUCUUCUCAUAGUUUGUG
rnacentral:misc_RNA from 1 species